UAUCUUUUGCCCAACUCUAGCCAGAGUUGGAACUACGGAAUAAUCUCAAUGAGUAGGGAUUGUGAUCAGGAACCGACUCAAAUUCAUUACAUUGUUGUGGAUCCAGCCAACUGAACUGGGCCUGAUGCUGAAAGCUGUGUUAUCUUUCUUAUUUUUAAGUUUUAUUCUUAUGCUCUGGGAGAUGGUAUAGCAAUUUGAACAAUGUACAUGGCAUACUUUUUUG
rnacentral:lncRNA from 1 species